rnacentral:rRNA from 1 species
GAUCCUGGCUCAGGAUGAACGCUAGCGGGAGGCCUAACACAUGCAAGCCGAGCGGUAUUGUUCUUCGGAAAUGAGAGAGCGGCGUACGGGUGCGGAACACGUGUGCAACCUGCCUUUAUCUGGGGGAUAGCCUUUCGAAAGGAAGAUUAAUACUCCAUAAUAUAUUGAACGGCAUCGUUUAAUAUUGAAAGCUCCGGCGGAUAGAGAUGGGCACGCGCAAGAUUAGCUAGUUGGUGAGGUAACGGCUCACCAAGGCAAUGAUCUUUAGGGGGCCUGAGAGGGUGAUCCCCCACACUGGUACUGAGACACGGACCAGACUCCUACGGGAGGCAGCAGUGAGGAAUAUUGGUCAAUGGGUGCAAGCCUGAACCAGCCAUCCCGCGUGAAGGACGACUGCCCUAUGGGUUGUAAACUUCUUUUGUAUAGGGAUAAACCUUUCCACGUGUGGAAAGCUGAAGGUACUAUACGAAUAAGCACCGGCUAACUCCGUG